rnacentral:rRNA from 1 species
CUAUCUUUAGUGGCGGACGGGUGAGUAACGCGUAAGAAUCUUCCCUUUAGAGUGGUAUAACCUUUGGAAACGAUGGUUAAUCCCGCAUACGAGAGUAAUCUUGAAAGAUACAGCAAUGUGUCGCUAAAGGAUGAGCUUGCGUCUGAUUAGCUAGUUGGUGAGGUAAUGGCUCACCAAGGCGAUGAUCAGUAGCUGGUUUGAGAGAACGACUAGCCACACUGGGACUGAGACACGGCCCAGACUCCUACGGGAGGCAGCAGUGGGGAAUUUUUCGCAAUGGGCGCAAGCCUGACGGAGCAAUACUGCGUGGAGGAUGAAGGCUCGUGGGUUGUAAACUCCUUUUCCUAGAAAAGAAAUCAUUGACGGUAUCUAGGGAAUAAGCAUUGGCUAACUACGUGCCAGCAGCUGCGGUAAUACGUGGAAUGCAAGCGUUAUCCGGAUUUAUUGGGCGUAAAGCGUCUGUAGGUGGCUUCGCAAGUUUGCUGUUAAAUUGUUCGGCUCAACCGAAUCCCAGCAGCAAAAACUAUGAAGCUUGAGUGUGGUAGAGGAAAAAGGAAUUCCCUGUGGAGCGGUGAAAUGCGUAGAGAUAGGGAAGAACACCAAUGGCGAAAGCAUUUUUCUGGGCCUGCACUGACACUGAGAGACGAAAGCUAGGGGAGCGAGCGGGAUUAGAUACCCCG